UUAGUCAUGAUAUUCUUUAUUGGGCUAUUUGAGCUCACCCUUUUCCUUUUGUUCCAUUGUUCUUCUCAGAAAAUGAUAGUAUAUCUGGGACUAGCCGAGAAAUGGAAUGAUGGUUCAAGACUGUAGAAGUAUCUCAAUACAUUAUAAAAUAGUGUGGUAAUAAUUGUAUUGAGAAUUUAAGUUGAGUGUGGAUAUUGUCGUAUCAGAUAC
rnacentral:lncRNA from 1 species